rnacentral:rRNA from 1 species
AGCGAACGCUGGCGGCAGGCUUAACACAUGCAAGUCGAGCGGGCACUUUCGGGUGUCAGCGGCGGACGGGUGAGUAACGCGUGGGAACGUGCCCUCUGGUUCGGAAUAACUCAGGGAAACUUGAGCUAAUACCGGAUACGCCCUUUUGGGGAAAGGCUUUCUGCCGGAGGAUCGGCCCGCGUCUGAUUAGCUAGUUGGUGAGGUAACGGGUCACCAAGGCGACGAUCAGUAGCUGGUCUGAGAGGAUGAUCAGCCACACUGGGACUGAGACACGGUCCAGAAUCCUACGGGAGGCAGCAGUGGGGAAUAUUGGACCAUGGGGGCAAGCCUGAUCCAGCCAUGCCGGGUGAGUGAUGAAGGCCUUAGGGUUGUAAAGCUCUUUUAUCCGGGACGAUAAUGACGGUACCGGAGGAAUAAGCCCCGGCUAACUUCGUG